GACAGCAUGGCCGAGUGGUUAAGGCGACAGACUUGAAAUCUGUUGGGAUUUCCCGCGCAGGUUCGAAUCCUGCUGCUGUCG
rfam:Stentor coeruleus isolate WM001 SteCoe_contig_1013, whole genome shotgun sequence.